AUAUUUUAACAGUGACACUAACAUUAAAGCUGUUUCUCAAUACACGUUCUUGUCUGGUCUUCUGUUCUCGUGAAAUGUUAUCAGUCAGCCCAAGUACUGCUCCAACUGCAAGUUCGCAUCAACCAAGAACGCAUGAA